CAGUCGCCGCGGUAAAACGUAGGUGGCAAGCGUUGUCCGGAAUUAUUGGGCGUAAAGGGCUCGCAGGCGGUUUCUUAAGUCUGAUGUGAAAGCCCCCGGCUCAACCGGGGAGGGUCAUCGGAAACUGGGAAACUUGAGUGCAGAAGAGGAGAGUGGAAUUCCACGUGUAGCGGUGAAAUGCGUAGAGGUGUGGAGGAACACCAGUGGCGAAGGCGACUCUCUGGUCUGUAACUGACGCUGAGGAGCGAAAGCGUGGGGAGCGAACAGGAUUAGAUACCCCGGUAGUCCCUGUCUCUUAUAC
rnacentral:rRNA from 1 species